rnacentral:rRNA from 1 species
AUUGAACGCUGGCGGCAUGCCUUACACAUGCAAGUCGAACGGUAACGCGGGGCAACCUGGCGACGAGUGGCGAACGGGUGAGUAAUGCAUCGGAACGUGCCCAGUAGUGGGGGAUAGCCCGGCGAAAGCCGGAUUAAUACCGCAUACGACCUACGGGUGAAAGGGGGGGAUCGCAAGACCUCUCGCUAUUGGAGCGGCCGAUGUCAGAUUAGGUAGUUGGUGGGGUAAAGGCCGACCAAGCCGGCGAUCUUGAGCUGGUCUGAGAGGACGACCAGCCACACUGGGAGUGAGACACGGCCCAGACUCCUACGGGAGGCAGCAGUGGGGAAUUUUGGACAAUGGGCGCAAGCCUGAUCCAGCCAUGCCGCGUGAGGGAAGAAGGCCUUCGGGUUGUAAACCGCUUUUGUCAGGGAAGAAAUCUUCUGGGUUAAUACCUCGGGAGGAUGACGGUACCUGAAGAAUAAGCACCGGCUAACUACGUGCCAGCCGCCGCCGUAA